rnacentral:rRNA from 9 species
GAAUUAAAGCGCGUGAGUGGGGCAAAGCCAAAGGAAACUAUGGGGAGGAUUCAAGGGAUACUUACGUGCAAAUUGUUCAUCUGACUUAUAUAGGGGUGAAAGACUACUCGA